rnacentral:rRNA from 1 species
GCCCUUAGAGUUUGAUCCUGGCUCAAGACGAACUCUGGCGGCGCGCCUAACACAUGCAAGUCGAACGGAGCUUAGAGAGCUUGCUUUUUAAGCUUAGUGGCGAACGGGUGAGUAACGCGUGAGUAACCUGCCCUAGAGUGGGGGACAACAGUUGGAAACGACUGCUAAUACCGUAUAAGCCCACGGUGCCGCAUGACACUGAGGGAAAAGGAUUUAUUCGCUUCAGGAUGGACUCGCGUCCAAUUAGCUAGUUGGUGAGGUAACGGCCCACCAAGGCGACGAUUGGUAGCCGGACUGAGAGGUUGAACGGCCACAUUGGGACUGAGACACGGCCCAGACUCCUACGGGAGGCAGCAGUGGGGGAUAUUGCACAAUGGGGGAAACCCUGAUGCAGCGACGCCGCGUGGUGGAAGAAGGUUUUCGGAUUGUAAACUCCUGUCGUUAGGGACGAUAAUGACGGUACCUAACAAGAAAGCACCGGCUAACUACGUGCCAGCAGCCGCGGUAAAACGUAGGGUGCAAGCGUUGUCCGGAAUUACUGGGUGUAAAGGGAGCGCAGGCGGGAAGACAAGUUGGAAGUGAAAACCAUGGGCUCAACCCAUGAAUUGCUUUCAAAACUGUUUUUCUUGAGUAGUGCAGAGGUAGAUGGAAUUCCCGGUGUAGCGGUGGAAUGCGUAGAUAUCGGGAGGAACACCAGUGGCGAAGGCGGUCUACUGGGCACCAACUGACGCUGAGGCUCGAAAGCAUGGGUAGCAAACAGGAUUAGAUACCCUGGUAGUCCAUGCCGUAAAC